rnacentral:rRNA from 1 species
CCUACGGGAGGCUGCAGUGGGGAAGAUUGCACAAUGGGGGAAACCCUGAUGCAGCAACGCCGCGUGAAGGAAGACGGUUUUCGGAUUGGAAACUUCUAUCAAUAGGGAAGAAAGAAAUGACGGUACCGAAAUAAGAAGCACCGGCUAACUACGUGCCAGCAGCCGCGGGAAUACGUCGGGGGCAAGCGUUAUCCGGAAUUACUGGGUGUAAAGGGAGAGUAGGCGGCACGGUAAGCGAUCUGGGAAAGCCUUAAGCUUAACUACAGGAUUGCAUAACGAACUAUCUAGCUAGAGUACAGGAGAGGCAAGCGGAAUUCCUAGUGUAGCGGUGUAAUUCGUAGAUAUUAGGAAGCACACCAGUGGCGCAGGCGGCUUUCUGGACUGCAACUGACGCUGAGGCUCGACAGCGUGGGGAGCGAACAGGAUUAGAUACCCGGGUAGUC